UACGAAGGGGGCUAGCGUUGUUCGGAAUUACUGGGCGUAAAGCGCGCGCAGGCGGUUCGAUAAGUUGGGGGGGAAAUCCCUGGGCUCAACCCAGGAAUGGACUUCAAGACUGUCGAGCUAGAGGACGAGAGAGGUGAGUGGAAUUCCCAGUGUAGAGGUGAAAUUCGUAGAUAUGCGGAGGAACACCGAUGGCGAAGGCAAUCCCCUGGACCUGUACUGACGCUCAUGCACGAAAGCGUGGGGAGCAAACAGG
rnacentral:rRNA from 1 species